rnacentral:ncRNA from 1 species
CUCUUAUCGAGAGCGGUGGAGGGUCUGGCCUUAUGAAACCGCGGCAACCUCAAAUGAUUCGUAUUUGAAAGGUGCCAAUUCCUGCGAAGCAUCUGCUUUGACAGAUAAGAG